AUUGAACGCUAGCGGCAUGCCUUACACAUGCAAGUCGAACGGCGUGUCGAACGGGGGAGUAAUGUAUCGGAACGUGCCCAUUGGUGGGGGAUAACUACGCGAAAGCGUAGCUAAUACCGCAUACUAUUGGAGCGGCCGAUAUCGGAUUAGCUAGUUGGUGGGGUAAAGGCGCACCAAGGCGACGAUCCGUAGCUGGUUUGAGAGGACGACCAGCCACACGGGGACUGAGACACGGCCCAGACUCCUACGGGAGGGAGCAGUGGGGAAUUUUGGGCAAUGGGGGAAACCCUGAUCCAGCCAUCCCGCGUGAGCGAUGAAGGCCUUCGGGUUGUAAAGCACUUUUGGCAGCGAAGCGGUACCUACAGAAUAAGCACCGGCUAACUACGUGCCAGCAGCCGCGGUAAUAC
rnacentral:rRNA from 1 species